AUUGAACGCUGGCGGCAGGCCUAACACAUGCAAGUCGAGCGGAGCGGCGGACGGGUGAGUAAUGCCUAGGCAUCUGCCUGGUCGUGGGGGCUAACGUCCGGCAACGGGCGCUAAUAUCGCAUACUAUCAGAUGACCCUAGGUCGGAUUAGCUAGUUGGUGGGGUAAAGGCCUACCAGGGUGACGAUCCGUAACUGGUCUGAGAGGAUGAACAGUCACACUGGAACUGAGACACGGGCCAGACUCCUACGGGAGGAAGCAGUGGGGAAUAUGGGACAAUGGGCGAAAGGCUGAGCCAGCCAUGCCGCGUGUGUGAAGAAGGUCUUCGGAUUGGAAAGCACUUUAAGUUGGGAGGCGGUACCAACAGAAUAAGCACCGGCGAAAUUCGUGCCAGCAGCCGCGGUAAUAC
rnacentral:rRNA from 1 species